rnacentral:rRNA from 1 species
GACGAACGCUGGCGGCGUGCUUAACACAUGCAAGUCGAACGAAGUGGCGAACGGGUGAGUAACGCGUAAUCAACCUGCCCUUCAGGGGGGGAUAACAGUUGGAAACGACUGCUAAUACCGCAUACUGAAGGUGGGGAGUGCGUCUGAUUAGCUAGUUGGGGGGGUAACGGCCCACCAAGGCGAAGAUCAGUAGCCUGGUUGAGAGGAUGAACGGCCAAAGUGGGAAUUGGACACGGCCCAGGCUCCUACGGGGGGCAGCAGUGGGGAAUCUUCCGACAUGGAGGAAAGUCUGACGAGGCAACGCCGGGUGAGUGAUGACGGCCUUCGGGUUGGAAAGCUCUGUUAAUCGGGACGCGGUACCGGAAUAGAAAGCCACGGCUAACUACGUGCCAGCAGCCGCGGUAAUUC